rnacentral:rRNA from 1 species
CCUACGGGUGGCAGCAGUGAGGAAUAUUGGUCAAUGGGCGCGAGCCUGAACCAGCCAAGUAGCGUGAAGGAUGACUGCCCUACGGGUUGUAAACUUCUUUUAUCAAGGAAUAAAGUGAGGCACGUGUGCCUUUUUGUAUGUACUUUAUAAAUAAGGAUCGGCUAACUCCGUGCAAGCAGCCGCGGUAAUACGGAGGAUCCGAGAGUUAUCCGGAUUUAUGGGGUUUAAAGGGAGCGUAGAUGGGUUGUUAAGUAAGUUGGGAAAGUUUGCGGUCCAACCGUAAAAGUGCAAUUGAUACUGGCAGCCUUGAGUACAGUUGAGGUAGGAGGAAUUCGUGGUGUAGCGGUGAAAUGCUUAGAUAUCACGAAGAACUCCGAUUGCGAAGGCAGCCUACUAAGCUGCCACUGACAUUGAUGCUCGAAAGUGUGGGUAUCAAACAGGAUUAGAUACCCUGGUAGUC